AUGUUCCCUUAUACUAACAAUGCAGCUGAAUAUGAGGCUUUGCUCCAUGGUCUUCGGAUGGCUAAGGAGAUGAAUUUAAGCCGGGUUAAAUGCUUCGGCGAUUCAGAUCUAGUGGCGCAACAGGUGUCUGUCACUUGGGAUUCUAAGGACCCACUCAUGGCUGCAUAUCAGCGAGAGGUGGACACAGUGGCUGGUCACUUUAAGGGUUAUCAGGUGGACCAUAUAGACUGGCGGAAGAAUGAAGCAGCAGACGCUUUAAGUCGUCUUGGUUCCCAGCGUAAACCGGUCCCGCCCAAUGUCUUUCUUGAUGUAUUGCAUAAUCCAUCAGUCAAGGUGCCAACCGAAGAAGAUUUGGCUAUUCCUGAUCCGGAGGCUCAGUUGGUGGCAGCUCUGCAUGCCAUACCGGAUUGGACAAUCCCCUAUAUGGCUUACAUGAACCAGGGCGAGUUACCAGACGAUGAAACGUUGGCCCGACAGAUAAUUCGGCGUUCCAAGUCCAUGACCGUACUCAGUGGGGAGUUACAUCGCUACAGCGUUUCAGGAGCAAUUCAGCGUUGUGUUUCUCCUCAAGAAGGUUGUGAGAUUUUGUGA
rnacentral:rRNA from 1 species